AGUUGCUUUAUGACGCCGGGCGCGUGCGCAUUUAAAACAAUUCUCGAAAGAAAUGUUCACAAAUUAGUUUAAAUUCGAAAACGUUUCGGUAUGGACGCAAGAAAAAGGAAUUCUAAGAAAUAGAAAUUCUAAGCGAAACAACAACGAAAAAGGAAAAUAAUUUAAAUAGGGAUAAUAAUAUACAAAAACAUAACAACAAAAACACAACGGUAUUAAGGAAUCUGUUUCAGAAUUUCAGUGAGUUAAAUCUGUUAAAAAGUUCUGCGGUUAAUUUGUUUGUUUCUUUAACAAAAAACGUAAUCUAAUAUUUUAAUUAUUAUCAUCAGCUCAGCAGCAGUGUAGAAUAUAUUGGCCUAAAAUACUAGAUAUUUUAUGUUAAUAUAUUAAAUUCGAGUGACUUACGUCACCCAAGAUUUUGUACAUUUUCAAGCGGUAAGUGUUAAGUCAGCGCGUUCGUAUUUAUGGGACAUUGGAGAUUUGUACAUGGAUGCUAGUGGGGGAACGGCUAUUAAAAUUUCGCUGACUGGUUGGGUGUCAAGUUCGCAAGACUGAAGUUUCGAUGACUAAGGGUAUCCUCCUACUGUUUUGGAAUUGUUUAUGCUGGAUUGUAUUUUAUGUUAAUGUGUGGAAUUUGGUUGGGUCACUUUUCUCGAUGUGGUUCGAUUGAAGUUUUCAACCUAGUUUUAGUAAUUGUAGUUUCAUAUAGAAUAGGCAGGCUAUAACUUUAUAUUGUUUCGAGAAAUGCGGAAAUAUUUAUUAGUUAGUAUUAGGAUUCGUUAAAAAGUAUGUAACAGGCAGAAGGAAUCGUUUCAGACUAUAUAAAGUAUAUGUAUAUAAUAAACUUUUUUGGUAAUUGAUUAAAUUAAAAAAUAUAUAUUUUUCUUUUUAUAAUCUUUAUUUGAUUAGUUUUUACCAGAGGUCAGUAUUCUUUCGGCUCAGCAAACCUUUUUCGGAGGAUUAACAUAAUCCUUUUAAGUUCUACUUAGCUUUAUAUUUCAAGCUUAUCGGAUCAUUAGGCUAGUUACCGUUAAGCGGUUGGUGUCUUAGGAGAAUGUUAUUUAUGAAGCUUCUGAAGAGUGAAGCUUUCCAAAAGAUCGGCUUUAGCUUUUUAUAUGAUGAGAGAAUAUGUCACUUCCCCACCUUUUAGAUAUUAGCUUGUCAUCAAGCGAUUAUUUCUGGAUACAAUUGUGGUACGUGAUUUUCAAUUUCAACUACAUACAUAUGUAUUUCUGUUUUUGAUUCUGUUCCUUUUUCAAUAUUUUUGUUAGCAGUUUUACUUGGUUUUAGGUAAAAGAUAAUAAUUUUGUGUGGCGUUUUACAUUUCAUAUAAAAGUAAGAUAUGUAAAUUAAAACUAAAAAACAUAUGAAGAUUAUUAGUAUGUUUCUGUAAAUUGUUUUAUUCUUAUUGUUUAACAUUUCUGUGCAACAUUGGUUCGACUAAGGUUACAUUUUGUUCAGUUAAUAUUACAUUUGUUUAUUGUUGAAUACUAUUAGAUAUUGUAAUUUGUUUUAAUUCUGCUGCGCAGUUAGAUAUUUUUAAAAUUGUAUUAUUUUCAAUAUAAGUCUAUUGACCGUUACAAUUGUAAUAAAGUCCAGGUUAUAAGUAUAUUUAUUUGGUUUAAUGUAUUGAAUAUAUGGAAACAAUAAAUGUUGUCUGCUUGUAUAAAAUUUUCUUCAUUUGUGUUUCUUUAUUUUCUCUAUUGUUCUUAGUAUUGAUAGUUCAUUUACGGUUUUGUGAAGGCGUUCUAUGUCUGCUAUUGCUGUUUUACUUGUGGUAAUAUCUAUUUGUAUGUCUUGGUUGUUAAGCCAAAUUUUUAAAUAAGUGCUUAAAAACCGCUUUAAUUUUCUGUGGUUAUCCAUGUCAUUGAAAAUUCUAGUAAGGGCUCGUUUUGCCUCUAACCAAUCUGUUAGUUUUAAUACUGUUUGUUUUAAUAAGUAAAGCAAAUUUAGAAUAUAUGUAUGUCUAUACAAGAUUAAUACUGUUCGUUGUCAAUUGCACAAAAGUCAAUGACGUCAAUUUCUCGUGGGUUAUUUGUUUCUGGAGUUAUUUCGAAAACUAGAUUUGUUGGUCUAUGUUCUGUCUUUGCAAGGUUACAGAUUUCGCAAUAAUUAAUAAUGUUUGAAUUAGUUUAUUGUAAUCGGGAAAAUAAAGAAUUUCUUUAAAUAAUCUUAUCAUUUUUUCAAUACCAUGGUUUAACAAUUAGAAUUUUUAGUCAUUAUGGUUUUUUUAAAUUCAGGAUAAUUUUUUAUGUUUUUUAACUUUAUGAUACUUUUUAGAAUUUUCACGUUACUAUGUGGGUUAAUGGUUUCUCUAAAAAGUCUUUAUCGUUUUCCAGGUAAAUAGCACUGUUAUUAUUUAAGAAGUGAUAUCCGAGGAUAUCUGUUGCCUUUGACAGGGUCAUGUCAGUGUAUUUAAUGGUCAGUUUUGUUUUUGAAAAGUAUUUCGUUGUCUCUACUUGCUCUACGGUAUCUUUAAUAAGUUCAAUUGGUCUUGCAAAAUAGUUUAUUGGUUUUUCUGUAAUUUCAAUGUAGGUUUCGUUGCUUUCUGUGUUUCGAUGAACUGUGUAUUGUUGCUGCUGUUGCAAUAUUCUCUUCUUUGACGCGAGAUAAAGCGUCUGCUACAUGAUAUAGUUUACCUUCUAAAUAUUUGAUUUUCAAAUUAUAUUCACUAAGUCUAAUUCGCCAACGUUGUUGUUUCAUGUUAGGUUCUUUAAUAUUAUUUAGCCAAACGAGGGGUUUGUGAUCGAUCAAAAUCUGAAAGGCGGCACCCUUUAGAUAUGUAGGGAAAUAUUUGGUUUCCCAAACGAUUGCCAGUAGUUUUUUUUUGAAGAACUUUUCUUUGGCGAAAUUGCUAGCGUCAGUAGUGACUCGAAAUGGUUGGUUUGAAAUUAGGGCAACUCAAAAUUGGGUCCUUCAUUAUGAGUGUUUUCAAUUUUUCAAAUGAUUUAUUGUAUCGUUCUUUUCUUGUGUUUAUUUUAGCUCCUUUUUUGUCAGCGGUUUUGCAAUCUUUGCAAAAUCUGGAAUGAACUUACGGUAAUAUCCGCAUAAGUAUAAAAAAUAUUUGAUUUCUGUUGAUGUCUUUGGGAGAGGAAAUUUUUCGAUUGCUUUAACUUUCUCUUUAUUAGGUCGUAUGCCUUCUGGACCUAUAAUAUGACCUAAGAAAUUUGUUUGCUUUUUUAAAAAUUCGAAUUCACACUAGCUGAGUAACGGGUAUCUGAAAGUCGAUGAACUCGACUAUAGCAUUCUCCGUUUUGUUUCAUUUUUAUUUUAUAUAUUUUGCAUGUUUAAUUUGUAAAAAUGAACAAAUAUGUGUUUUUCAGAUUUCAGAUUACCAUUUGGCUAUGAGGAUCAGACAGUUUUAGUUAACUACUCCUAAAAAAAUAUCAGAGGACAAUUAUCUGAGGAAUGAAUCGCUUUGAAGUAGUACACUUUGAAACUACAUUUAUUCAUUUUGUGUAGCUUGUCUGUGGGCUAAAAUAUAUUUCGGCUAAAAAGUAGGCAAUACUACUUUUAUCAGUUGACCCAAGACUUUGGUAUUUCACCAUUUGUUUUUUUUUCUUUUUUUAAAUAAUUUAUUAAACGAAAUUAUUUAACGGACUAGCGUACUAUUGCCCUUUUUAGACAACCUAAUCUAAUCGGUAUCAAUUUAAACGAUUCUUAAUAUCUAAGUUUUUUACAAAGAUUAUAUGAAUUUGAGUAUUAAAGAAAUUGAAUGUUUAGGCAAUAAUAUUUAGAAGAUUAUUAUUAAGUAGUAUUUAUGACAAGUCCCGGGGGGUAUUUAUAUGGUUUUUUAAUAGAUAGGGUCUUCGUAUUUUGUAUGAAUAGAAUAUUUAAUAGUACUUGUGGAAGUAAAAUUUUCACCAUCUUUGUACUGAAUAUCACUGUAUUCAAGGAAAACGUGGGAAAGUUGUUUCCCUUUUUGCUGUAUUUAGAAGUUCUAAUCUGAAUACGUUAAAUUCUCUGAACUCGCCGUCUAAGGCGUAGUUAGAGGAUGUUACUAGAAGGAUGUCUUUUAAGUAAGGGGUAAUAAGAGGGUUUUCCUCAGAUUUAGAAGUCUUGGGACACUCAUAGGUAGUCUUGAACUCUUCUGGGUUAGACGACCUGGGGCACUCAUUGGAGACCUUUGAAUCAUCUGGUUUUAAGUGGGGCUUCCGCUUAAUUUUCUGGAGGGUUUCCUCCUUUUUCUGUGUAUGUAGAGGGGUUUCCUCUGAAUUAGAUAAUCCGGGGCACUCAUUGGUGGCCUUGGACUCAUCUGUUUGGAUGGUCGUACCACCUUUUGAAUGUAUAGCUAUUUAUAGUAACAGUGUGUGUUGAAUAACUUUAGUCAUGCUGGAAGCUUGCCAGAGUUGGUAGGGUCCUAGAUAUCAUUGUGAUUUUUUAGACUCUCGAAUGCAUCUCUCUGCAAGUCACCGAACUUAAUAGGAGUCUUCUUAGACAUGUGCUUGCUGAUAGAGCCAUUUUCUUCUAUUAGAAAGCUUGUCAAACGAAACAACGGUAAUAACUGGCUAAACCCAAAAAUGAUCUUAGCUCAUACAGAUUUGUAGGCUCUGGGUAUUCCUUUUAUGGCCUUUACUUUUUCUGUGUCGGUUUUUGCACCUCCAUUGGUGACAAUAAAUCCGAGAUAUUCAACGCUUUGCUUAAAAAAGUGCAUCUUCUCGUUGAAUACCUUCAUGUUGGCAUCACACAGGCUUUUUAAAACGCAAUCUAUGUGCGUAACAUGGUCGUUUUCAUUUUCAGUAUAUAGGUAUAUCUGGUGGUAGCCGGACUUUAAAUCUAACGUUGUAACGUUCUUGGCUUUUCCUAAGUUUGCCAGUAUUAUGGGAAUAUUCGUCAUUGGGUACUUUUCAGCGAUGUUUUUUGCGUUAAGUUUCCUAAAGUCUAUAAUCAAACGAAUAUUUUUGUUCCCCUGCUCAUCAUGGUCUUUUUUGUCCACAACCCAUGUUGGAUCACUUUUAAACAAUUUUAAAUUUUAUUCGCCAGUAUUUAUCGAUAUUCCAGAAAAAUGAUGAAAUUUCGAGAUCGCAUUCACACUAGCUGAGUAACGGAUAUCUGAUAGUCGGGGAACUCGACUAUCGCAUUCUCUCUUGUUUUCCAUAGAUGUCCCUAUCUGCAAUUGGAUUCUCCUUUCUCAGGAUGCACUUAAGUUUUUUUUGUUCCAUUUUAAAAAAGGAUAGGUCUGCAGUUAACGACUGAGGAUUUCCUAGCCAUUUGAUGAAAUUAAUGUUCCUUUUUAAAAUAUCUGAAUUUAUUUUUAUUAAAUUGCAUUCCUUUGAGCAAUUACUCUAUAUUUGUGUACAUGAUAUAUAUAUAUAUCCUUUUCCCAUUUAAUUUUACCUACCUUUUAAUAAAUACUUUAAUAAGUCAUAAUAUGUGCGUAAGCAUACUAACCAGAUAAAAAACAAAAAAAAGUCCGCAGUAUACAUAACUGUUUAUCAAUUCAAGAAAGCAAAAAAGAUUAUUUCGAAUAAAUAUGGUUGGCAUUUUAUAUUCGAAAAACUUUAACGCAAGCCCCAAGUUUUAAUGGAGCUUUUCGACAAAUACAAGAAUUUGAGAUUUGCAAUUGCAAUCUAGGGAAAAAUGAUUAUUUCGAAAAAAUAUGGGUCUUUAUAUUCGAACAACUUUAACCCAAGCCCCAAAUUUUAAUGAAGCUUAUCGACAAAUACAAUAAUUUGAGAUUUGCGAUUGCAAUCUAGGGAAAAAAGAUUAUUUCGAAAAAAUAUGGUUGGCUCUUAAUAUUCGAAAAACUGUAACCCAAGCCCAAAGUUUUAAUGGAGCUUAUCGACAAAUACAAGAAUUUGAGAUUUGCGAUUGCAAUCUAGGGAAAAAAGAUUAUUUCGAAAAAAUAUGGUUGGCUCUUAAUAUUCGAAAAACUUUAACGCAAGCCCCAAGUUUUAAUGGAGCGUUUUGUUCCUUCGAAAACGCAGUCUAAAGUUCGCUUAGCGACGAAUACAAGAAUUUGAGAUUUGCGAUUGCAAUCUAGGGAAAAUGUUACCCGUUAAACUAACAAAUGAAAAAGAAAUUAUAAUACAGUGUUAACGCUAAGCUUGCGGUGCGUAUCCAUAUUUGCGAAGUAUGUUAUUAUUUGUGGCACAUUAGAGUAUUUAUUGAAACGUAAGGUAGCAAUGCUAACUAUUAGCUAUGCUUUAUUAAUUUUUAACUUAACUUUUUUUGUAACUUGUUAAAGGAAUACAAUUUCUUGUGGUAAAAAUUGGUAAUAAAUUGGCCCGAGUUCUCUCGGAUAGAACUCUUCCCUAUUUUUAGUUAAUUAAUCAUUUCCCUACAAGCUGUAUGACCAAACCAUUACAGGAAAAUCCCAUUUUCCUCUCAGCAGAAUCCAUUUGUUAAAUGAACAAUAGUUUGUACCUAGCCUACAGGUUCAACCUUAAAAUCAAAAUAAUAAAUAAACUAAAUUUAUUUGCUGUAUUGAUCAAAGUAUACUUUUUUUUUUGUAUUUUUGCAUUCAAACUAAAAAUCGGGAUUCGUGACAAUAAUAUUCAUUCGUUAAUAUUUCAAAGCUCUGUUUAAGCUUAUUGAAAGUCCUGCCCAGUCCAGUCAAGCGGGUAUGGCCAAAGAAAUGCUGUUGAUUUUAGUUUCCCGCGAAUAUAUAAAUAUGCACGCUCAGGAAGGGAUUUCAGAGGCUCAGUUUUUAAAGAGAAAUUAAUGAUAAACAAAAAAUUAACUUACUUUUGAAGUAUAUGCCUUUGGUACACGAGAAAAAUUUUUCAAGAGCAUGGCAAAAAGUUUGAUGGGAGUGGGAUGGAUAGACGACAUGUUUUUAACAAAAAAAUUGUAUCCAUUAUGUAUUUUAACAGAAAUGGGAAUUAUAAACGUAUGCUCAGUCCAGUGAAGUCUGAAUAGAGUUAGGCAAACGGGUAGAUUGCGAAAACUAAAUACGAGUUGUGAGAACGCGCGCGACUUUGGUCCUGUGUCCAGGAAAUAGAUCCAGUUUGGUCCAGAGGGCAAGCUAGAAGGUUUUUGGACCAUAUAAAGUAAAUAUAUUCUUGAUCAGGAUCAAUAGACGAGUCGAUCUAGCAAUGUCCGUCUGUCCGUAUGAACGUCGAGAUCUCAGGAACUAUAAAAGCUAGAAGGUUAAGAUUCACCAUACAGAUUAUAGAGACAAACCACAAACCGCACAGAACUGCCACGCCCACAAUUUCGAUAGAUGUGUUGAUAUUUUUUCACAUAUUUAUUAGUCUUGUAAAUAUCUAUCGAUUUCCCAUGCCCACUUUAUGGUCGAGUUGCGUAUAUGUUGUAAUAAGUAAUAAGUAAUAGCUCAGUGUAAUAGAUAUUGAAUAGCUCAGAGCGUCUGUUCCGUUUGAAUCGUUUUAUUUGAAUGAAUUCCUAUGUUGCUGUCUUUGGGUACAGCUACCCGUACAUGGUGUUCUUACAUAUUGUACAUAUUGUAUAUACAUAUACAUGUGUAUGCAGAAGGCAUACAUCUGUUAUGUAUGGCUUGACCACUUGAGCUGCUAAGUGCAUGCUCAGCAUUCUCACGCUCCGCGAUCGGCUUAUGUAUAAGCAUUAGAUCGUAUUUCAUUGGCUGGAGUGUUUAUGUAAGUGCAUGUGGUCUUUGAUGUGAAUUAUGUUUAUUUGUGUUUGCAACAAAGUGUCACAAUGUAUGUACGUUACUUAUAUAUAUGUAGAGUAGAGUUAUAGUGAGGGUAGAUACACUACACCUCCCUUUUUAGAGAAAUGACGUAAUAUAUGUAGUCAUUUAAUUAAUUAAAACAUUUUUUUUCUUAUAUUAUUUCUUAUUUAUCCUUUCUAUUAGAAAAAGUUUGGUCUCAGAAUAAUUUGUGUAAAAGAAUUUUUUUUUUUUAUAUUUUUUUUUUUUUGUUGUUUAUAAUUACGUUAUGCUUCUAUUUUUAACUUUCUUAGACAAAAACUUAUUAAAUUUUUUUUUUUUUUUUGGUUGAUCAGACCUUUUUUUUUUUUUUUUUUUUUUUUAGUUAUUUAUUUUGUAUAAAACGUUUCAUUAAUUAUAUAUUUUUAACCUAUCCUUAUGAACUUUCUGUUCUUUGUUCUUUUUAUUCCUAAUUACUAUGUUAUUGUUUUCUUCGAUUCUAAUUACUUCGAAUGGCCCUAGAUACGUUGGUUCUAGUUUGUGACCUGUUUCGUUUCUUAUUAAAACGUUAUCUCCUACUUUUAGUUUAAAAUCGCUAACUUUGUUAUCAUAACUGGUUUUCUGUUUUACUUUAUUACUUUCUAAUAAUAUGCGUGCUCUUUUAUACGCGUUUUCUAGUCUAAAUUUAACUUCUUUAGCGUAAUCAUCUAUGUUAUAUAUAGGGUCUAUAUUAUCUAUGUUACUAAAUUGUUUUGCUAAAUUACUAGUCUUACCAAAUACUAGUUCAUAUGGACAGUAAUUAUGCGUUACGGAUGGUGUAGUGUAAUGAUGAACUGCUUGUCACGAUAACUAGUCGUCAUAGUUUAUGCUAAGCUAUGCUAUGCUCUCGAUUCGUUAACAUUUACACUUGUGUAAUGAUGAACUCCAAUUAAGAACACAAGUCCGUUUUAAGUUUAAGGCAGCCGUCGGGCUGACAUAUAUUUAUUCAAUUUCUUCUUUUGAUUUUAGAGUAGGCAGAAAUGGUUCUGUCAGCUCAACGUCUACAGAGUCUCUCCGAUUUUUCAGUUUUUGAAUAUAUUUGGACUUAGGCUAAUCCGCGUAGCUGCGCUGCCGGGUACGCCAGCAGCGGAGCGGCGUUCUUAUGUAUAUCUUAUAUAUCUAGGCUUAUCGGGAGAGCGAGAUAUGUAUGUACGUAUGUAAUAUGUAUUUGGUCGGCGUGUGAAUGCUGACCAUGCACUUAUACUUUGUGGCCUUCGAGUGGGUGAUCAUGUUACAUCCGCCCUGGCCUAACUGCGUGCAUAAACAUAAACAUAAACAUAGCAACAAAGUGCUGCCAUAAGUUAAUAUGCUAUUUUAUUUAAUUGUUCUUAAUAUUGCAUAGGCACAUACUACAUCUCCCUCCUUUUGAAAAAUAACGUAACCUAGUGAAGUUAUUUUGAUUAUUAAAUGCAAAUUAUUUUAUUUUUAUUUUUAUUUUGUUUGUGUUUUUGUUUGAACAACAAUAGUUGAUUUUAUAAUGCAAAGAUAAAAAUAUACGUAGUGUAUGGAAAAUUUGUAUAAAUGAUUAAGGAAAAUAUAAGUUUAAAUUCAAUCAUGAAUGAAAUUUCUUUAAUCUAUCUUUAUGAACUAUUUGUUUUUUGUUUUUAUUAGUAAGUAGCGUAAUAUUGUUAUUAUCUCCUAUGCUUUCUAUCUUAUAGGGCCCCGUAUAUUUAAAGUCUAAUUUAUGACCUACCUCAUUUCUUAGUAAAACUUUAUCUCCUACUUCUAAUUCUAUGUCUUUUACUUUUAAGUCAUAAUUUUCUUUAUUUUUUUCUUUGUGUGCUUCAAGAAGUUUUCUUGCUCGAGCAUAUGCUACCUCUAACCUAUAUUUACUCUCCUUAGCGUAAUCAUCUAU
rnacentral:lncRNA from 1 species